CUUAUAACUUUGCAGCACAUAUUUUAUGAAGUACUGCUUGAUAGUCCUAUAUUAAUUUUAAAAUGGAAUAUAAUAUUGAGAAGCAAUGUAUCCAGGCAGCCCCAAAUCAGUUCAUCGAGAGGUCUACCGACUCCGCCGCUACCGUAUGCUGUUGAGCCUUCUCAUCGCACCGGAUUCGUGGCUGCAGCGACGCCGUUGCUUGUCGACAUUCCCAUACGCUGCUACGGCCUCCACAGCACCUCGACUUCGCCGAUCGUUAGCGCUCGGCGAGCCUUGCGUCCUCUCCCGAUACAACCCUAAAUCAUGUUAUAAUCCCCAAAUUCAUGCUCUAUCUGUAGCUUAGAGUCCUAAAUCCAUGCUCCACUUGUAGCACAUCAGUCUAUGAAUUUGAGCAAUCUUAUAUGUGAGCAAUAGCUUUUGCUUUUAGGCGUGGGAGAUGGCUGUAGAUGCUGCAGUCCGUCGGAGAGGAAGGAGAAGCGAGGGGAUCGACACUGAGGUUGGAUUUCACGUCCCUUUGAAAAUGGUAUUACUAUAUGGUUGAUUCUCCCCUCGACUCCGCCGACGGGUACUAAUUGAUUCCGUUGGCCGCCGCUCGACUCCACCAACAAUGGUUGCCCCUUGACUCUGGCGGUAGCCAUCAGUCGAUUCUGCUUCUACACGCUCGGCAAGCCUUGCGUUCUCUCUAGCUUAGAUCCCUAAAUCCAUGCUCCACUUGUAGCACAUCAGUCUAUGGAUUUGAGCAAUUGUAUAUGUGAGAAAUAGCUUUUGCUUUUAGGCGUGGGAGAUGGCUGUAGCUGCUGUAGUUCGUCGGAGAGGAAGGAGAAGCGAGGGGAUCGGCAUUGAGGUCAGAUAUCACGUCCCUUUGAAAAUGGGAUUACUAUAUGGAGAGUUUUGCAUUUGACUUAUUAACAGAUGGAUUUACAGGGCGAUGUACAAUCUUCUCAAGAUCAGUGGAGUCAGGAAACACGACUACCUGUUCAUUUUCAAGGUGGAAUUGUAAUCUCUAGACAGAUGGCUCUCUGUGUUGAAGUUCAAAUCCAAAUAUACGCCAUGAUGCUUCUCCUGCUAAUAAGUACCGUGCAUCAAGAACAUCUUGGGGAAAUGUUUUGAGCAUUUACCAUCAAUCAUGCAUGGUGAUUUAUGAUUUGCCUCUCCACAUGGUCCAUGCAUCAUGAAUUUUUGAACAGCUAUAUUACCUUCCGGAUCCUCAUCGUUGUCUGGGAUCUCUGCUGAUAUGAUGCUAUCAAUAUUAGAAGGGUUGGGGUCCCUGUCUUUUGGGUCUAGGAAGACCAAUAUGUGUGCAUGAGGAAGUCCUCUUUUCUGAAACUCAAUUGUAUAGAUAACUACAAAAGAAAAUUUUGUAAUAUUAUAUUUAAUACUGGGAGGCACAUAUAAUUUGAUAGGGGUCAAAUAAUUAACAUGGUCAUAAAUGAAGUGUAAAAAUGCUAAAGAUGGUUUGGUAAACAUACCUUCUAUUGUGCGGCCAAAGCACUUGUUUUUCUUGAUGUCCUCAGUUAUUAGUUCAUGCAACUUUAUAAGGAAUACUCUAUUGCAAAUGUCGGGACAGUCUUCUGGCUUUUGACCUGGUAUGUAGUCCAGCAUGGCCUGUAUUUCGGGCCACUUUGGGUUACAUGUGAAAGUGAGAAAGAGGUCUGUAUAUCCAGCCCAACGACAUAUUGCUAUAGCAUCUUGGUAAUACUGUUGCUUAUUUCUUGGACUUCCUGUACAUGAUGAAGGCAGUAUUAUUCUUUUACCUACCUGAUCAGUUCUUAUGUCACCAUUGUCAAGUGCAUCUUGCAGUCCACUAUACAAUUCCGUCCUUAGCGUGCCUUGAUGCAUCCUGUACCAAUUGAGUCUCCACUGUUCAAUGCAUGCUGCUGCAUCUACUAUGAAUUGGAGGAACAGUCGACCACUCAUUAGCAGCACAGUCGACUGAUUCAAACGUUGUUGUAUGCGAUAUGCAUAAUAUUCCAUCAUGGUGACAUGCUUCCUCUCGCCUUCAUGGCCCUCUAUUUCUUCAUAUGGUAUUUCAGGUCUAAAUCCGUCCUCCCCAUACGGAAAUAGCAAAGGGUAUUGCAUAAACAUAAAAUUCGGGUGCAGUUCGGAAAUUCUUUGUAAAUGUUUAUCCUUGUCUUCCACUAUUAUAUCCCGUUCUGAAGCUUCAUCACUUUGAUCUCCCAAAAUGAGUGCUGCAAUUUCAGAGGCAGUUGGUAGGUUAUAUUUUCUUCCAUCUCUCGAUCUUUCACUCAGUAGUCGUAUUUUAACAUUUUUGAAAUCUGAUUCUCUGAAUCUGUCCCUUGCCAUGCGAAAUGUUCUGACCAAAACAUUAUUCUCAUCAAGCAUCUCCAACAAUUUGGACACAAUAUUUUCAUCUAAUUCUUGAUUGUUUGUUUUCGAGCUAGAUGCACGCAAUCUGUUUUUCACCUCAUUUUCUGUAUCAUAAAUGUACAGCUAGGCGAAUUUUGGAUUAUCACCUUUUUUCGGAAGCAAUGUGCCUAUUCGAUGAUAAUUUUGACCGUUGAGCCGAAAAACAUAAGGUCCACCACCUUGUCUAUUUAUCUCAUGAUCGAUGCGGCCACCCAUUGAAGUGAAUGCGAACAUUGAAUUGUAGGUUCUGAUGUUUUGUCUGUAGUUCGAUGAUUCUCCUCUUUCUUCAUAACGAAGUAGUUGCUCAAGAUAUGCUGGAGGCUUUUUCAGAGGUGGCAGCUUCACCUUCCCUUGUUUACAGCAGAGUCCAAACAUUGGUCUUGAUUUAUUCCUAUUAUGCUUGUUUCUUUCUUGAUGCCACAUUAUAGCUCCACAAUUUGGGCAUAUGCAAGUGGGUUUUCCAAAAUUUGAAGCUUCAGUUGGAGGAGGACGUGGAGCUUUUCCCCUUUUUAUGGCUCGUAACUUUCGUAUUUUUUCUCUACAUGAUUUGCUCAUUUCUCUGGUAGUAAAAUCAAGAUUAGAUAAUUGGUUGCAUAAAUUUGGUUCCUGUUGAGACUGUGAGUCAUUUGUUGCUUUCGAAGUAGAUCUGAUUUUAUCAUUAUCUUUGCUAUUCGAUAAAUACAUUGAUUGCUGAGACAGUGGUUGUUUCCUCUUUGACGGGUUUUUUAUCGAUUGAUAUUUUGUAUCACUGCAAAAAAGAAUAUUUGUAUGUUAGUUGUUAUUCAAUAGUACUCUAUGAUUGAGUAGGCCAUGGUGUUAUCUAAUUGUCUACCUUUCUUUCUCUUCAUCUUGUGUUCCUUGAUACGGCUCUGUAUUCUGAUCAUUAGAUACAUUCUGAAAAAU